rnacentral:lncRNA from 1 species
ACUGAGCCGCCGAGUGCUGUGCCAUCGGUAACGCCUGUCGAAUGCUCUCAUGGCCAGUUCGACUGUGGCGAUGACACCACCUGCAUCCCGUCUUUCUUAUGGUGUGACGGCAUAAGAGAUUGUCCAAAUGGACUUGACGAAGACUGCAGUACCAUGAACGUGUGCAAAGAAAAUGAGUUCUACUGCCCAAGCCGAUCUCCCAGCGACUGUCUUCCAAGUUCAGUCCUCUGCGAUGGUACUGAUGACUGCCUAGGUGGUGCGGACGAGUCUCUUUGCGAAGUGUGCCCUCAUUAAUUCUGCCUGAACGA